UAAGAAGUGAUCAAAAUGAAUGAGCAUGGUUUCCUCUAAUCCCAUUUCCAUUUUUGGUAUAAACUAGUUUUCAAACACAGAGAAGAUUUAGAUAUACACAAUGUACACAUAGUUUUCAGUUAAGCAUUUGACAAGGUCUCCCAUGCUAAUAAAAACCCAAAUAGUGUCUGUCACCAGGAGUCAGACACAACUCAAAUGACUGAACAACAUGAACACUGUAAUGGUUUGCCACUUCCUUCUUCAGCUUAUUUUUAUAAAUAAGGAAACUGAGGCCACAGAGUGAAGUGACUUGCCCAGGGUCACAUAGUAAGUACUGGAUUUGGGCUCAGGUUUUCUCCUGACUUGAGACCUGGUGCUCUAUCCCUGGUUCUACUCAACUACCCCACAUCUAGUCCUGGAGAUGUGAUAGUUCUGCUUUUGUCCAUCUUGCUCAGACCACAUCUGGAACAAUGCGUUCAGUUAUGGGAACAAAAUUUUAGGAAGGGCGGUGACAAACCCUAACAUAAGCAGAGAGUGGCAACCAUGUCACAUAAAACAUUUGAAACAAUUGGUGAUAUUGAGCCUGAGAAGAAGAGAGGAUUUGUGGAGAUUUCAUAGCUGUCCUCAAAUAUAUAGACAAGGGCUCCUGUCCUUGUUUUCAGAGGCAGAACCAGAAGCAAUGGAAACAAAUUGCAAAAAGGUAGAUUUUGGCUUUAUAGAAGGAAAUAUUUUCUAAGAAUUAGUGCUAACCACUUGUCAAGAAUGAUUUUUGGGGCAAGAAGGUGGCUCAGUGGAUUGAAAAACCAAGCCUAGAGAUGGGAGGCCCUGGGCUCAAAUCUGACCUCAGACAUUUCUUUGUUGUGUAACCCUGGGCAAGUCACUCAACCCUCCUUUGCCUAGUCCUUACUGCUCUUCUGCCUUAAAAUCAAUACUCAGUAUUGACUGGAAGGUAAGGUUUAAAAAAAAUAAUGAUUCUUGUUUAGGUGUGUGUAUAUAUAUACAUAUGUGUGUGUCUACACAUAUACACACAGAAAUAAAUACAAAUAUAACAUGUACAUAAAUAUAUAGACAUACAUACAUAUAUAUAUUUGUGGUUAGUUUUAGGUAGAGGUAUAGAAGGGAUUUUUGUUUAGGUAUAGGUUAGCCUUGAGACCUCCAAGUUCUCUUCUAGCUCUAUGAUCCUGUGAAACUUGCGGCUAAAGCUUAGGACAACCUCUCUGGAUUAUAUCAGCUAAGAUUAUUUAAACUUUCUCAUAUCUAGAGAAGGGUGCACAGAGGUGCACAUCAGAUGUACCCAAAGAACAUGAUGAAGUGUGGAAAAAUAGUGUUGAUAGCUAAAUUAGGGAGGGUCUUCAAUGUCUCAGGUUAAUGCCUUUGUGUUUCAUCCUAUAGGUAAUGAAACUAUGGAAGGUUUCUUAAUGAGGGAGGAGAUGUGCAUUAGGAAUAUUACUUUGAUGGCCCUGUUAAAAGAUGGAGUGAAGGGGGCAGCUGGGUAGCUCAGUAGAUUGAAAGCCAGGCCCAGAGAUGGGAGGUCUUGGGUUCAAAUUUGACCUCAGACACUUCCCAGCUGUGUGACCCUGGGCAAGUCACUUAAUCCCCAUUGCCUAGCCCUUACCACUCUUCUGCCUUGGAACCCAAAACACAGUAUUGAUUCCAAGAUGGAAGGUAAGGGUUAAAAAAAAAAAGAUGGAGUGAAGAAGGAAGAAACCAGAAACAGGGAGUUUAAUGCCCAUUACAGUGACUUAGGUGUAUGGUAAUUCAUGCCUGAACUAGGGUUGGAGUAGAAUGAGAAGAAAGGACAGAUUCCAGACAUAUUAAGGAAACAGAAUUGAUUAGAUUUGACAACUGAUUAGGUGGGAGGGGGGAAGAAAAGUGAAGAGUCAAAAAUUACUCUGAGUUUGGGAUGCUGGGGUUAUCAAAAGAAAAAAAGGGAAGUUAGGAAGGAUAGAUGUGAGGUUUUACACUAGUUACUUAAAUAGAAAUGAUUGUUGAAACCAUAGGAAGAGAUGUGAGGGCCUUUCUGCUGAUAAUCCUGUUACCCCUAUCAUUCAUCUUUGUACCUAAUCCUAAAACACUGAGUGUUGCUAGAGGAAGUAAUACAAAUCAUAUUGCCUAAGUUCAUUAGGGAGUUAUGCUGUCAGCUUGUAAUACUGGGCCCUUAUAGCUGAAAAGCAAUCUUUUUAUUCAUCUCUCAUAUAAUACCAAUCACGGUCCUCAUAACUAUUUUAAACCAUUUCUCUGUUCACAAUUUCUACUCUAGUAUUGUACUGUGACAAGGAAAUCACUUUUAAAAGACUGAUAUAUAUUAAUUUAAGGUCGCCAAGGAAUUCAGCUAUGUAAUUCCUUAAUGAAAACUCAAGUCAGCCGUCAGCCUUUUAUGGAGUUUUAAUUACAAACAGGAGGAAGAAAGGAAUUAGAGAGAGAGAGAGAGAGAGAGAGAGAGAGAGAGAGAGAGAGAGAGAGAGAGAGAGAGAAGGGGAGAGAAGGGAAUAGGGCUUAAAUACCCCUUCUGUUUAGGCUGGGCCAAAAGGCCCAAGCCCUUAGAUAGCUGGGGCAAUGAAAGGAGAUCAGUCCCUAUUACUCAUGUGACCAAAAAUGGAGAAACAGUCUCUGGGUCCCCCACCUUCAGCUUCCUUCAGUGCAAGCUUCUCAGAGCACACCACAACCACUCCGACAAACUCCUCAACCACCUCCAGUCUUCAGACCCCCCUAUCCUUAAGGCAACCAUCCAAGUUGCCUCCCCUCAGUUCUCACAUCUACCAAUCACUGUCCAUCAAUUUCCCUGUGCCAAUGGAGGCUCUAGCUUAACCCAGGACCGCCCAGAGGUCUCUGGCUUUGUACAUGUCUGUUGAAGGUCAUAUUUUCAAAUAAUUAAAUCUUUGAUCCUUUGCUACAGCCCUUUCUAAAUCCUAUUAACCUGAGUAGGGUAGAGAUUGGAAUAAUUAAAUUUUGAUCUAGGCUGCAGCCCUUCCUCAAUCCUGUUAGGACUGAAUAGGGUGGAGAUUGAUUCCAAGUAUCUCCAUUGUAUCAAUUCUAAAAUCAAUCAUGACUCAAAGAAAUUCCUGUUCUAUGCUUAAGCAUAGGUCAAAGUCCUUUCCAUUGUUCAGCAAAAGGUUUCUGUCCCAAAGUAAUCUUAAGAAGGUGGGAGGGGGAAACUCUCAUGCCAAUGGGGUUCACAUUCCAAUAGCCAAGACCCACUAUCAAUAGGAAAUUUUUCAAGUAUGAAAUUUCCCAAUGGUGAAAUUUCCAACAUUUAUAAGUCUAAGAAAUUUUGAGGUUUACAGUACUCUACACUCUUUGUGGAUAAUUUCAUUUCCUACUUCACUGGGAAUGAUAGUGCUCCCCUUUCAUACCUCAAAACCUUUUUGUCUUUAUCUAUUUUAUUCCUCCUUUUCUCUUCUCUGGUUUCAGAAAAUAAGGUAGUUUUAUUCCUUGUCAAGGUCAAAGCUUCAAGUUGUGCCUUUGAUUCCAUUCCCCUUUCCUCCACUGAUCAUUCUCUCAUCUUCGAUCUCUCCUGAGUUCUUCCACUCUGACUACAAACAUGGUUAUGUUAAAAAAAAAAGCUUCCUUUGUCCCUACUAUUCUCUAUUUUAUCAUUUACUCUUCUUUUUUCCUGCCAAACUUUUAAAAAGAAUGGUUUAUAUUUGCUGCCUCUGCUUCCCCCACCACCCAUGCAUUCUUAAAAACCCUGUAAUUCAAUUCUUCUGAAACUGCUCUUUAAGAUCUUUUAAUUGCCAAAUCCAAUGGCUUUUUAAAAAAAAACCCUUACCUUUCAUCUUAGAAUCAAUACUAUGUAUUGGUUACAAAGCAUAAAAGUAGUAAGGGGGCUAAAGGCAUUGGGAGUAAAGUGACUUGUGCAGGGUCACACACUAGAGAAGUGUCUAAGGCCACAUUUGACCCAGGACCAAUGGCCUUUUCUAAGUAUUAUCCUCUAUGCCCUUUCCACAGCGUUUGAUCCUACUGACAACUACCUCUUUUUUUUAUAUUCUCUCUUCCAACUUCUAUGACUGCUCUUUCUUGGUUAUCCCACCUGUCUGUCCAUUCCUCUUCCAUUUUCUCUGGUUCAUCUUCAUUCUUCUACCCCCAAAGUACAGAUUCUUAUCUAAGACUCUGUUCUUGGUCUUUUUAUUUUCUCUCUCUUAACAACCUCAUCUAUUUUCCAUGGUUUCAAUUAUUACCUCUAUGCAUAUGAUUGCCCACAAAUAUAAAUAUUCAACCCCAAGCUCUCUUCCAAGUUCUAGUGUUACCUAUUUAUAACUGUCUCAUCAAUAUUCUCAAACACAUUAAGUCCAAAACUGAAUUCUUUAUCUUUCUUCCUAAAAAGUGCCCCCUCCAUGCUCUUAGUCACUCAGCUUUGUAAGCUCAGAAUCUUUGGCUCUUCUGUCUUUUUAACACUCAGUUUCUACUUCCAAUUAGUUGCCCCAGUUUUAUUCUAUUUCCACAAUACUUUCUCAUAAUGUUUCCUUCUCUUCAUUCUCACUGACAUCAACAAUGAUUAGGAUACAGACAUGGAUGGCAUGCUUACAAAAUUUUCAGAGGACAGAGGUUACUGGGUGGGAUUACAGAAAAUAUCUUGACAGGUUAGAAAAUGCAUUAGAAACAAAUAUGAUAAAAUUUAUUAGUGAUAAAUGCAGUCUCACAUUUAAGUAUGAGAAUACUUCACAGUACAAAAUAGGUGAGGCAUGGUGAGACAGAAGACUAUUUGAAAAAGAUCGUGGAGUUUCAGGAGACUCAAUAUGAUUCAAGAAUAUGACAUGGCAGUCAAAAGCACUAAUGUGAUUUUUGGUUGCAUGGAGAGACAGGCUCCAGGAUUAGGGAGGUUAACAGUUCUGUUGUACUUUGUUCUAGUCAGACUAUAUAUGGAAAACUAUUCAGUUCUAGAGCUUACAUUUUACACACUGAUAAGCUUAAAAGUGUUCAGAGGUGGGAGACUACAGUAUUUGGAAUAUAUCAGGUGCUUAUACUGUAAAAUCAUGGUAUGUGGAGUGGCAUCUUGGGGGUCUCCUGUCUACUCAUUAGAGUGGCUUUGGAGUACAGACCCCUGAGAUUCCAUACCACACAAAUGGGGGUUCAUCUGGGAUCAGUCGCGUUCCUGCACUGGAUACCUUGGGGUGCCCCUCUCCAUCACUCUGGAUUUGGGAAUCUGAACCUGACUCCCUUUUGAUUGGUUGACGGCAACAGAGGCCAUGGCCUGUCCUUUCCAAACAUCUCUCAGGACUAACUGGAUCCAUAUUCAACUGCUGUUCACAUGAAACCCUUCUCCAUUUUGGCUUUCAAAGUUCUCACUUGAAUAUUUGCUAUCAUCACCAAGAUCUGCACCUGUGGUGGCUUCACCUGGGCCCAUUCCCCAGGCUUCUAGGCCCAUUGGGGGGGGGCCUUCUUACUUUGUCACAGCCUAGCCCCUGAGGAGUGAGUUCACGUCUUCCUCCUGUGGAAUAUGUUCUUGGGGAACAACACAUUUCUAUUCCUGCUUAUGCACAUUGCCAGCAGCGAAAGGAAAUUCAGAAUAAGAGAGAAAUCACAAAAGAAGAGAAGAGAUAUGUCUUGUCUCUGAGAGAAGUCUGUACUUGCUAUGGCUGUAAUCAGCCCAGCUACUUAAAGGGCCAGUGCCCUGAGACACUGACUUGCUGAAGCCAGAACUGACAAAGGGAUCAGUGAAAUUUUCUGCUGAGACAAAGCUGGAGGAUUUUUGAACACUCUGUGCCCUAUCUGUGAAGACACUGAUUUUAAUAAGAUUUAUUUACAAGUUUUAGAAGCUGACUGACAAAAUUCCCCCUUUCUUGGGAGGGUGAAGAACAUGUAAAUACAGUAGAAAAUCUUGGGAAAACACUGAUUUAGUAGCAUGCUUUCAAAGUUCAUGUUAACUGUUUUCUUUCUGUUUUUGUUGUUUGUGACCCUGCAUUAUAGUAUGUACACACAAAAGGGGGGUUGGGAAAAGAAAUCUCUAAGUGAUUUUGAGGUAAAUCUGUUUCUGUCUCCCAUCAUUCCGAAAAGUAGAAGAGCUGAAAAGACCAGAAAAUGUGUUUGAGAGAUUAAAAAAGAAACAUGUGAAUUUUUGGAACUCUUAAAUUUUAAGAUUAUCUAAGCUGAAAAAAGAAACUUUGUCCUCUACUCUUAAUAGAGGACAAAGGCAAAAAGAUUUGUUCAACAUUUUUUCCUCUGUUCUUUUUUCGACUGGCUACCAAUUGGGUAGAGGGAAGAUUAGAACAAAAGAAGGGAGAUUUUUGAUCCCACGAUUUGAUUGGAUUUUUACUUAGGAUUAAUUUUUAAAGUUGAUGUAUAUGAUUUUGGAAAAUCACAAAUGAUUCUGAAAUGUAUCUAUGGAAUUAUGUGAAAUGUCUGUAAAGUGAUUCAGUGUUGGAAAUUGCCUAUCAGUUGUAUGAGAUUCCAGAUAAGUUCAAUUCUGUACUUAAUGAUGAGAGAACUGUUAGUUCUCACUGAGACUUGAAAUGAACAAUGGUUAGAGAUUUGAGUGUUUGUACAUACCUAAAAUAUGUUAUUUCAGAAUGAGAAUUGACUGAAUGUAAUUAAUAGCUAGACUGAUGCAGAAGGAGAUUUUUACUUUAAAGAAGCAGGUGAGAAGCAAACUCCUGAUAAGUGCUGUGCUGGCUGCUUAGUGAAGUAAAAUGAGUGUAAAGUGUAUAAGAAUUUACUACCAGCUUUCUAGAAGAUAUGAUAUAAUAUGGAGAAAAUUCUGUAUGAUUUAAGUUUUGGUUUGACAAAUGAGAACAUGAAAAUGUUAUUUUAGUAUAUGUGCUGUUGAAUUAAGAAACAAGUGAAAAUGUAACAAACAUUGGGAAGAAGCUUUAAAUUUGGAAAUUUGAAAUUAAAUAUCUGAUAAGAAUUUGAAAUAUUGCAAAAGGAUUUCUGAAUUUGUAAACAUUUGUUGUAACCAAUUGGGAUAUAUGAAUUGUUGCCAAAAUAUGUUCCUUAGGUAAAAAUUAUUUUAUUACUGGAUGUAUAUAUGGAUUUAAAUUAAUCUAUUUGCUUGUGUUUGUAUAAACACAAAUGAUUUAUGAAUUUGAACUAUAAGCCAAACUAAUGUUAAAUGAAUUGGAUAAGGCAAAAUGUAAAGCUAUGAUAUGUAAAUUAUGAAUGUGAAUGACACAAUUGAUAGAAAGAAUGACAAAUAGGGUUCUUCUGAGCUACUAAUAGCAGGUGACAGACUACCUAGUGGAAGUUAAGUUUAGUGACAGUAAAAGCAAGUUGUAGAAAGUGAGAGAGGACUGUGGGAUUAGUAUAUGAAAGACAUAAAGUGUAGGAGACAAUCAGAAUAUGGGGCCUCUUUAUGAGUCAGAAGAUAGACAUGUUGUAUAAACAAUAUAAGUAGAUAUGUGAAGUUGUCAGCAAGAAUAUAUUGAAUGUGAUUCUGCUUGAAGCAGAGACUUAAGGGGGAAAAAGUGGAAGUUGAGAGAUUAAGGAAGUUUAAGCGAUUGACUAUUUCAUCUCCCCCUCUUACCAAGGAGGAGGGACUAGCUAUUUCAAUUAGAUUUAUGAUAAAGUAAGAAAAAAUCUUUUGAAGACCAAGGUAAGGCAAAUAUAAAUAAGGUAUAGAAUAAGGAGACAUGGAAUUGGCAUUUACUGUUUGAAGAAGUUAAAGGACAAGAACAUUUAUUUUUAGAUAAACUUGAAGUAAGAUUUUUAGAAGCCAUUAGAAUAAUCAAGUAGCUGGAAACUUAUUUGAAAUUUUGGAUUUUAAAGAAUGAAAUUGGAACACUAAGAGAACAGGUUGUUUUUUUUUUAUCAACUGUAAUGAAUAGGAUUUUUGCCCUUUAAGACAAAAGGUUUAUGGGAAUCAUACCUGAUAUUAUUGUAGGCUUGGAUUUCCAUCUCUCUGAUGAUCUACCACUGAAUAGAAGAACAAGAAGACACUCAGAAGAUAAGUGAAAGUACUAUAACAGUUGGAAAGGCAGUCUGAGGCUCAACUUACCAACCCGGGGUACUAGUGGUCUCUGGGUGAAACAUUUUUGUCAUGAGCCAGUGACAGCUUUGGCCUGUGCAUGAAGUCAGACAGUGUAACCCACUCAUUCUGUAUCUUUGAAAGAACCAUUAGGAGAGUUAAAGAUCUUUUUUCCUGCCUUUCUUUUGUGACAAAUUCCUACUAUCAGCAAAUUCAGGAUGCAAAUUCUAAGAUGGAAAGUUUCCAUUUUCCAAACAAGCAAGUAGACUAGUAGUAAAAGGUUAGAUUUGAUUAAUAGCUUUAGGCAAGUGAGGUUUUUGAUGAUCUGUAAUUGAGAUUCCAAAGAAAUAGGUAGAAGUAGUUAUGAGAAGCUAAACUUUAGACUAAGGUUUGGGACUAGGAAUUUCUAUAUUUCCUACAGAACCUGAGGUAGAAGUAUUUAUUUCAUAAAAUAUUUGCUUUGCAAAAGAAUUUUUUGCCAGUAUGAGGAUCUGUAGAGAUUCUGCAAGCAAUCUUGAGCAGAGGGAGCAAGUUUCCUGAGAAGACCCAUCCCUGGCCAUCAGAAAAUGAUUUCUGAAGAUGACGAUGAAGAAUGUCCAACUAUACCCAAAUGUUAUUUGCAUAUAGAAGAAACCGAAAUUUUAGAAGGGCUAGACACCACUCCUUCGGUGAGCUGGUGGAACUCAAUGUUCAAUGGACAUUGGACACAGAUAGCUCCAACCAUUAUUGUUAUUGUUUGUGUUCUUUUGCUUAUUUCUUGUUUAAUUCCCUAUUUCAUUGUCCUGAUUCAGAGAACUAUAGAGAAUAUGCAUGUUGUGGUUCAAAAGCUCUAUUCCCAUCAGGAGGUUCCCCAAAUGAUGAUUUUGAGAAAGCAAAAAAUUCCUAUCUUGAAAGUCAUAGCUGAGCCUAAGGAGGGUGCUGAAAUUGAUUUCAUGCUUCAGCUCUUUGAUGAAGAGGUCCCUAAAGAUCAGUAGGAUUGUGUGGGUUGAAAUCAUGUAUUAUUCUCCAGAACAUAUUAGCUAGUAUUAAUAAUCUUAGACUGGCAACUUCCUAUAGAAAAUUAGUGGAAAUUAGGUGCUCUUGAGAAGAAAGACACCAAUAUCUCCUAAUGAAAAGUAGAGAAAUCCCCCUUCUCAAGCAGUUUUUAUAUCUAUAUAUCUAUAUAUACACACCUCUAAUUAUCCUAAUUAGCAUUCUUUUCUAAUUUGGUUAAACCACCCCUACCCUUUUCCCCUUUUUCUUAUUAUGGAAUCCUAAUAGCUCUGACAGUAUUUCAAAAGGUUAAAGAGGUUAGAAGCUAGAUGGUGAUGGAAAAUUACAGCUCCAAAGGUUCGUGAAUCUAAAGUUACAGACUUAACUCCCAAAUGUUUCAGUAUGAAAGACUUUGGUCAUGUCUAAACUCUGACUCACUUUAGAAAUUGCAAACUUGAGGAAUGCUCCCAUGGGGAAACUUAAGAGAAGGGUAGGGGAAGAUAAAGAAAAAUAUAACAUACACAGAUAGUGUGUUCAUAGUUGAUCAUCAUACAAAAUUACUCUGUGUAGCGUUCUUCUGGUUCUGUUCACUUCACUUUGCAACAAUCCUUGAAAGUCUUUCUGAGUUUUUUUUGAAAUCAUCCUGCUCAUCAUUACACACAAUCAUGUACUACAACUUGUUUAGCCAUUCUCCAAUUGAUGGAUGACCCCCUCAGCUUCCAAUUCUUUGCCAACACAAAAAGCUGUUAUAAAUAUUUUGCUACCAAUAGACCCUUCCUUUUUUGUGAUCUCUUUGGGUUAUAGACUUAGUGGUAUUGGUGGUUUAAAGGGUAUGCACAAUUUCUUAGAUCUUUGGGCAUGGCUCCAAAUUGCUCUCAAGAAUGGUAGAUCAGUUCAAAAUUCCAACACUGCAUUAGUGUCAUAUUUUUCCCACAUCCCUUCCAACAUUUCAUUUUCCAUUUCUGUCUUAUCAGCCAAUCGGACAGAGUAAUUUCAAUUUGCAGUGUCUUAGAGCAUUUUAAAAUAUUUCUAUAUGUAGCUUUGAUUUCUUUAUCUGAAAACUUCCUGUUCAUAUCCUUUGACAAUUAAGGAAUGACUUGUAUUCUAAUAAAUUUGACUCAAUUCUCUAUAUAUUUGAGAAAUGAGGCCUUUUGAGAGAUAUUUGCCAUAAAUUUCCCAUCCUGUCCAAUUUUCUGCUUUCCUUUUAAUCUUACGUUUCAUUGGUUUGAUUUGUGCAAAACCCCUUUAAUAUAAUCAAAACUAACCAUUUUGGGGGUAGUUGUGGUUCAGUGGAUUGAGAGCCAGGUCCCGAGACAGGAGGUCCUGGGUUCAAAUCUGGCCUUAGGUACUUCCUAGCUGUGUGACCCUGGGUUCACUUGACCCCCAUUGCUUAGCCCUUGCUACUCUUCUGCCUUAGAACCAAUUGGUUCUAAGGUGGAAGGUAAAGGUUUAAAAAAAAAUUUAACCAUUUUACAUCCUGUACUGAUUUCUUUCUCUUUUUUUGGUAAAAACUUCUUCCUUUAUCCACUGAUCUAACAGACAAACUAUUCCAUAAGGAGCUCACAUUUUAAGGGGGAGGGGCAAGUAGAAGAUAAUCUCAGAAGGAAGCAUUUAGCUGUAAGGGUGGGGAAGUGAGAGUGGGAAAGGUCUUUUUCAAAAGGAGAGAUUUGAGCUGAGACUUGAAGGAUAUAAGCCAAACAGGAUUUUAUAUUGGAUCCUGGAGACAAUAGGGAGUCACUAGAGUUUAUUAAGUAGGGGAAUGAUGUGGUUAGACCUGUGUUUUAGAAAGAUCAUUUUGAUAGCUGUGUGGAUGAUGGAUUGUCAUGGGGAGAGACUUGAGGAAGAGAGAGCAGUUAGAAGGCUAAUGCACCAGUCCAUGGGUGAGGUGAUGAGAGCCUGCAUUAGGGUGACAGCAGUGUUGGAGAAGAGAGUUGGGUAUAUGAGAAAUGCUGUGAAGGUUAAGAAUAACAAAUAGUUUGAAUAUGUCUACUGACCAUGAGAACAGAUGACAAUGAGGUUGUUACCUAGAUGCCUGGUAGGAUAGUGGCACCGUCAAAAGUAAUAAGGAAUUUUGGAAGAGGGGAGGAUUUGGUAGGAAAGAUAAUGAAUCCUUUUUCAGACAUGCUGAAAUUGAUAUGUCUUCAGGAUAUCCAGUUAGAGAUAUUUAAAUAAGGAAAGGAAAUUAGCAUUUAUUAAGUACCUCCUAGUUCUAGGUAAUGAUAACUUAACCUUCAGAAAGUGAGAAGUCAAUCCUACAGACACUGCCCCCUGGGCAGUGCUGGACAAUUUGGAAACUGUGAUUGGCCCCUGUGAAAAGGGGAAAGAACAAGAAGUCACCAUUAAAAGCAAGCUUUGAACUCCUUUGGGGGAGAUUGUCUUUGAGAAGAUUGUCUUUUGGAGAUAGUCUUAGAUAGUCUUUGAGGGAGCUUCACUGGAGACUGUGGCGUGGAUCAUGGUCUCAGAGCUCGGCUUCUACAUGGACUCUGGCUCUUGGACUACUUUGUUGGCUUGAUGGAGACUUUCAGCUUGAGGAAGAACUGAGUUCAAUAUGGCCUCAGAUACUAGUUAUGUGACCCUGGGAAAGUAAGAUAAGAAAACUGAAGCCCAGAGAGGUUGUGUCUUUCCCAAGUGAACCUACAUCCUGAGUCCAAACCCAGUGUUCUUUCCAUUAGACCAUGGUGCCUUCCUAAACCAACAAGCUUCUUAGCUACACAUGCCCUAUUCACUCUGGGAGUGCCUGAGCCGAAGCUGCCUUGGCCAAGUUUACUUAUUAAACUUGUACCCACCUUCAUUCUUGAAGCAAAAGCUGGAGUUUGGAGGUUCCUUCUGGCUACUUAGGGAAAGGAAGAUGGGUCAAGUAGUAGCAAAGCACAACUCAGACAUCCCUUUGCUUUUAGAAGGAAGCAGCUAGAGAGAGACAGAUCUGAGAAAGACCCCAAACACUCAACUCUUCAUCCUUUGUGUUAGUUUCAUUCAAGCUCAAAAAAUAAAAACUGGAAACCAUCUUCUGAAA